rnacentral:lncRNA from 1 species
CCAGGCUAGCUAACGCUUGUGGAAUCGAGUCCGAUCGAUCCGGUAAUCAGUUCAGCAUGGUCUGAGUGGGGAGCAGGAUCUUGGAGUCGAAGGUGGCGGUGGAGUUGAGCAUCCAGGUGUAGAACGGGUGGAAGACGACGGACGCCGGGCAGCUCAGCGUCGCCGGCAGUUUGGGGCACUUGAUGAAGGUCUUGGCGUCCGUGUCCACGCAGAGGUAGACCUGGUACAGCUGCUUCUUGCCGAACGGCCCGUCCCGGCACUGCAGGCCCGGCUCGACGCCCAGCUUCGCGGCCACCGCCGCCUUGAUCCUCGCCGUGUUGUACAGCUUGUAGUCCGGCAGGAUGCCCUGGUCGGCGAGGGCGCCGAGGAUGUCGGCCUGCUUCCUGAGGCUGAGCGCCGCCUUGAAGUAGUCCAGCUGCUUGAGGCCUGAGCAGACGCCGUAGUUGUCCCAGGCGCUCUUCCACGCGUUCACGCCGUCGGUUGGCGGGCACUUGAGCCUGAUCCAGUAGUGGUUGAUGUUGUUCUCGAUCUUGUCCAGCUGAUCGUACGUGUUCCAUCAAUCGACGAUGCAUGGUGGUUGAUUAAUUAAGCAGGUUUAUUAAGUUUAACAUAUACUAGACAGAGAGUGAGUGUGUGUGAGAGAGGUGAGUUAAUUAAUUAACCUUUUUAGCAUCGAAGGGGCUGCCGUUCCUGCAACGGACUAUGGGCUUGUUAAUGGACACGUCGAAG